GAAGAACUGAGAUAGUAUACAAUGUCAGUGUUCAAUUCCUUAAAUUUAUUUGGCUUUGUUGCAAAAUUUUAAUUAAAUAGUUACAUUUUAUUUGUUGUUAUAUUGGAUCCAGGCAAGAAGUGCAGAAGCAACAAUUGGGUACACCAAAAAGCCUAUUAUGUGGAGAGGAAAUCGUACUGUCACAUCUUCUAAAUCCAGCUCUUGAGAGAUAUAAGAGCUUCCCAAAGGGUAAAGGCAAAGAGAAAACCAUAGUUGUUAUAGCUACUUAGUGAAGAAGUCCACAAACAAGUGCUUUUUGUUUUAGUUUAGGAGAAUAAUAAUCAAAUGAAUAUUUUUUUUUUUUUUUUUUUUUUUUUUUUUUUUUUUUUUUUUUUUUUUUUUUUUUUUUUUUGUGAUU
rnacentral:lncRNA from 1 species